CCUACGGGUGGCAGCAGUGAGGAAUAUUGGUCAAUGGCCGGAAGGCUGAACCAGCCAAGCCGCGUGAAGGACGAAGGUGCCAAGCAUUGUAAACUUCUUUUGUCAAGGGACAAAAUCAGGCUCGAGAGCCUGACCGAGGGUACUUGAAGAAAAAGCAUCGGCUAACUCCGUGCCAGCAGCCGCGGUAAUACGGAGGAUGCGAGCGUUAUCCGGAUUUAUUGGGUUUAAAGGGUGCGUAGGGGGACGGUUAAGUCAGCGGGAAAAGCCCGGGGCUCAACCCCGGCGAGCCGUUGAAACUGGCUGUCUUGAGAUGUCGAGAGGUAUGCGGAAUGCGCAGUGUAGCGGUGAAAUGCUUAGAUAUUGCGAAGAACUCUGAUUGCGAAGGCAGCAUACCGGCGGCGAUCUGACGUUGAGGCACGAAAGCGUGGGUAUCGAACAGGAUUAGAUACCCGGGUAGUC
rnacentral:rRNA from 1 species